AGUUCCAAUGCACAAUGUCUUAUCAUUCGUUGAUGCAUGCCCACAACAUGCUAAUGACAUGCCCAUUGCAUGCACAGAUGGAUGCGGUCUAUCAUCCCUUGUACAGUUCAUUGGAACGGUCAGUCAGUCCUUGCACAGUUCCUUGGAUCGAUCCGUCAGUCCUUGCACAAAACCUUGGAAAGGUUUAUCAAUACUAGCACUGUUCCUUAUAACGUUCCUUGGAACGGUACAUGGAACGUUCCCUGGUACGGUCCAUCAACCGUUCCAUGGAGCGUUCCCAGGAUCGUUCCAAGAAUUUAGGGUUGUUAAGUGGUUCAUGUGUUGGUUACCUUGUGACGGGUGACGGAGAAUUAAGAUUCGAUUCCGGAGAGGGAGCCUGAGAAACGACUACCACAUCCAAGGAAGGCAGCAGGCGCGCAAAUUACCCAAUCCUAACACGGGGUGGUAGUGACAAUAAAUAAUAAGACCGAGCUCUAUGAGUUUGGUAAUUGGAAUGAGUACAAUCAAAAUCUCUUAACGAGGAUCCAAUGGAGGGCAAGAUUGGUGCUAGCAGCCGUGGUAAUUCCAUCUCCAAUAUCAUAUAUUUAAGUUGUUGCAGUUAAAAAGCUUGUAGUUGGACUUUGGGUUGGGCUGGCCGAUCCGCCCUUGGGUGUGUACCGGUUGUCCCGUCCCUUCUACCAACGAUGCGCUCUUGGUCUUAAUUGAUCGAGUCGUUCCUCCGGUGUUGUUACUUUGAAGAAAUUAGAAUGCUCAAAGCAAGCCCAAGCUCUGGAUACAUUAGCAUGGGAUAACAUCAUAGGAUUCUGGUCCUAUUGCGGUUGCCUUUGGGAUCAGAGUAAUGAUUAACAGGGACAGUCGGGGGCAUUCGUAUUUCAUAGUCAGAGGUGAAAUUCUUGGAUUUAUGAAAGAUGAACUAUUGCGAAAGCAUUUGCCAAGGAUGUUUUCAUUAAUCAAGGACGACAGUUGGGGUCUCAAAGACAAUCAGAUACCGUCCUAGUCUCAACCAUAAACGAUGCCGACCAGGGAUCGACGGAUGUUGCUAAUAGGACUCCGCUUGCACCUUAUGAGAAAUCAAAGUUUUGGGUUCCAGAGGGAAAACGGUCGAAAGACUGAAACUGAAAGUAAUUGACGGAAGGGAAUCACCAGGAGUGGAGCUUGCGGCUUAAUUUGACUCAACACGGAGAAACUUACCAGGUUAAAACAGAGUAAGGAUUGACAAACUGUGAGCUCUUUCUUGAUUCUAUGGGUGGUGGUGCAUGGCCGUUCAUAGUUGGUAGUGCGAGUUUUCUGGUUAAUUCCGUUAACUAAUGAGACCUCAACCUGCUAACAAGCUAUGUGGAGGUGAUCCUCUACGGCCAGCGUCAUAGAGGGACUAUGGCCGUUUAGGCCACAGAAGUUUGAGGGAAUAACAGGUUUGUGAUGCCCUUAGAUUUUCUGGGCCAAACGCGUGCUACAUCAAUGUAUUCAAUGAGUCUAUAGCCUUGGUCGAUAGGCCUGGGUAAUCUUUGAAAUUUUCAUCGUGAUGGGGAUAGAUCAAUGCAAUGGUUGGUCUUCAACGAGGAAUUCCUAGUAAGGGCUAGUCCGCCCGUCGCUCCUAUUGAUUGAAUGGUCUAGUCAAAUGUUCGGAUCAUGCCGACGUUGUUGGUUUGCCGCCAGCGACGUCGCGAGAAGUUCACUAAACCUUAUCAUUUAGAGGAAUGAGAAUUCGUAACAAGGUUUCCGUAAGUGAACCUGCGAAAG
rnacentral:rRNA from 1 species